ensembl:lncRNA
AUGACACAUGACACCUUCCAGCUUCCUGAUGUGUGCCACGCUACCCAGCAGCGUAUAUAUAGACGCCGGCCGUCCAGGCAGCGCUAUCACCGCAGCCAGCCGACCUCUCCUGACCCGCUGACCAGCCGCUCAACAUGCAACCCAAAGGUAGUACCGGGGAGAGCUCUUAGCCCACUGCCCUGCAGGACAGAAAUCUGCUUGGGUAUGGCUGCAAACUACAGGGGAGGGAAGGGAACAGAAGGGAAAGUCCACGAUGAGGGUGGGAGAUGCUCAAAGCCCAGCUGGAGCAGCCCUGCACCAGCUGCUGCAGCCGACCCAGCCUGCGUGCGUGCUCCCCGCGCCUUCCCUUCUGCUGGAACCGGGGCGCUGCAACUCUGUGCCAUCUGCUCCACAGGGGUCUCGCUCAAAAUGAAGCUCCUCUUGCUGUCCUGCGUCAUGAGCAUGGUCCUUGCUGUCGCCAAUGCUCAAGACGACAGCGAUAGUUCUGGGGGGGAGAGCACUGAGGCGCCACCAAGACGACCCAUUUUCUGGCCUUUUCGUCCCAUUAUUCGCCCCUUCCUGGAAAGGCUCAAGGCUGCUCGAUCUUCCUGAUUGUGAGCCUGAGGUGCCUACCUGGAUAACCACGGCUGUCUCCUGCAGGACGCUGCUGCUUCUAGAUGAUCUUCUACUUCCCACCUCUCCUUCACACCUUCUGUCAGCAAUGUGCUGAAAACAGAGGACCACCAACAACAGGGUCCCUGUUUCACAUGCCCACUACUGAAGCUGGCGUGUGUCAAAGUGUGUGUCUUUCAAUCCUUCUCUGCUUAAUUUCUAAAUCUGAAUAAAUGCUGAGCAUCAAAUGACUAAGGUCUCUUAAUUAUUUCUUGGGAAAAAGAAACACAUGAACGUCACUUCAGCGACCCUGCUUGCAAUGACCAUGAGUAGGAAAGGAAGGGAACUCCUGAGGCUGGCUUUGCCUUUUGUCCAUGCUGAGAUUCACAGGCUCUCUCAGGUCUCUAUCUGGCCCUACCAAAUACUACCCAGCCUCCUCUCUGUGCUUUUAAGAGACUAUUUAUCACAAAUACAGCCACUGAAGCCAACACCAGAUUUUAACUACAAUUUAAGACAGCGUUUUUGUAAACAAGAUCCAUGUAAGCUUAAACAGCAACAGAAAGCAUUUACACCGUAAUACUGUACAAGAUAUAAAGUAUGGCGAAAGAAGUGUACAGGGAUUUAAAGGGAACCUCAAGGCUACUAGCAUGUUUUAGACAGAGGCACUCCAAGACAUUAGGAUGUGAGUAACUGUUAAUCCUACACAGGUAUGUAACCAGGGCAUCACAGCUUAUUUCAGUGACAGAUGUAUUUUUUCAUCUCCUAACUAGCUGCAAGUCAUCCCCAGGCUCUCUCAAAAGACACACAGCUCACCACAGUAGCGCUCUGGGCUGAGCGAGCUCUGGAGUCACUUCCCCAAGCUUCCCAUUUCCUCAGGCCAUUUCUGCAAGGAGCUCAAGGCCCCUUCCCCAAAUUGCUGCCUAAGAGUGGCGCUGAUCUUCUCCCCCGGGUCCACCAUCCCCCUAAAGGGGGAAGAUAAAAAAGAAAGAGACACAAGUGCGCAUCCCUAAGGGCUCCCCAGCUGCCCCCCUUUUCAGCAGUGCUGAGGACGCUGCGCCCCCUCGCACCCGGCUGUGGUUAUGGGAGGAGUCCUACAUUUACUUGACAAAAGGAAGCAAACCCCCCGGCUAGGGGAAUUUAAACUCGCAAAAUUAACAUGGGCUAAAGGACACGUGCCCUAAGCACAAGACACUGACAGAAUUAAGCAGCCACUACUCUACAGACAGCAGGCGGCCCCACACAACCACGGGGCACCCACCACCCCCCUGAGGCGCCCAACUGCCGCCCGCCAUUACCCCUCCUCCCCGCCCAUUGGGCGGAGUGCCCGCCCGCUCCGCGCUGCGCUCUCCGAUUGGCUGCCACCUCCCCUGCCCCUCGCUGCUGUCAGGGUCCCGUGCUGCAAGCGCUGCGUACGCUGCGAGCACUGCGAGCACUGCAGGCACUGCGUGCGCUGCAUACACUGAGAGCGCUGCGUCCGCUGCGGGCACUGCGGGCGCUGCGCGCGGCGGGAUGGGGGCGGUGGGAGCGGUGCGGGAGCUGGCGCUGUUCCUGGGCACGCUGCUCUAUGCCUACGCCGAGGCGGCGGUGCGGCUGCUG